UCGCGUCCUUUACAGGCGAGGGGCGGGACAACGCCACUCUGUGACACCGGGCACCGCCCACGGGGCUUUAAAGGGGCAGAGCCGUUGCUUUUCACCCCCCCUGGCCUCCAUCUCAGCGCAUUUUGCUCGAUUCCGCCCGGUUCCCGGUGCACGCCGCGGGCGUGGUCACGUGUGCGUCCGUGGGUGCGCGUGGCAUCCCGUACUGGCGAAGAGACCCGCGCAGCUGCCGCUGCUCGGCGCGGAGCCGCGGGGGUGCCCGGUGCAGCGGGCGGGGGGGUCGUGGCUGUUUGGUGUUUGUGCGUUUGAAGCCACCCCCGGGCCGUGCCGUGUCACUGCGGGCCCUGGCGCCGCAACGUGGCGCGUUUCCAGCGGGGGAGCGGGUUCGGACGGUGGAUUCCUGUUGCCGGUGGCUCCCGCGAGAUCGCCUCAACCACUUUUGGAAGAAAAUGAUGUGACUCUUAGGAUUACUUGUCUCUCACAUGGAUCUCUCUUUCCAAUUACAUUUUAUGAAUUUACCCGUAGUGCUGCACUAUAA
rnacentral:lncRNA from 1 species